rnacentral:rRNA from 1 species
GAUGAACGCUGGCGGCGUGCCUAAUACAUGCAAGUCGAGCGAACAGACGAGGAGCCUGCUCCUCUGACGUUAGCGGCGGACGGGUGAGUAACACGUGGAUAACCUACCUAUCAGUCUGGGAUAACUUCGGGAAACCGGAGCUAAUACCGGAUAAUAUAUUGAACCGCAUGGUUCAAUAGUGAAAGACGGUUUUGCUGUCACUUAUAGAUGGAUCCGCGCCGCAUUAGCUAGUUGGUAAGGUAACGGCUUACCAAGGCAACGAUGCGUAGCCGACCUGAGAGGGUGAUCGGCCACACUGGAGCUGAGACACGGUCCAGACUCCUACGGGAGGCAGCAGUAGGGAAUCUUCCGCAAUGGUCGAAAGCCUGACGGAGCAACGCCGCGUGAGUGAUGAAGGUCUUCGGAUCGUAAAACUCUGUUAUUAGGGAAGAACAAAUGUGUAAGUAACUAUGCACGUCUUGACGGUACCUAAUCAGAAAGCCACGGCUAACUACGUG